AGGAGACAUUGAAGAUUAUUUUGAUGAUGAAGAUAAUAAUGAUCCAAAAAUAACAGGAGUUGGAGAGUCAAACACAUGAUGAGGCAGAUGAAUCUGGUGUUGAGGACAAGUCCCACACAAAUGAGCUUAAUCAAUUCAGGGGCAAAUGGAAGAAUCUGAAGCGGAGAUUCUUAUUUUACUAUGUUUGG